UACGAAGGGUGCAAGCGUUACUCGGAAUUACUGGGCGUAAAGCGUGCGUAGGUGGUUUGUUAAGUCUGCUGUGAAAGCCCCGGGCUCAACCUGGGAAUGGCAGUGGAUACUGGCAAGCUAGAGUGCGGUAGAGGGUAGUGGAAUUCCCGGUGUAGCGGUGAAAUGCGCAGAUAUCGGGAGGAACACCGGUGGCGAAGGCGGUUCUCUGGGCCUUACCUGACGCUGAGGAGCGAAAGCGUGGGGAGCAAACAGG
rnacentral:rRNA from 1 species